AUUGAACGCUGGCGACAUGCCUUACACAUGCAAGUCGAACGGCAGCACGGGUGCUUGCACCUGGUGGCGAGUGGCGAACGGGUGAGUAAUACAUCGGAACAUGUCCUGUAGAGGGGGAUAGCCCGGCGAAAGCCGGAUUAAUACCGCAUACGAUCUACGGAUGAAAGCGGGGGACCUUCGGGCCUCGCGCUAUAGGGUUGGCCGAUGGCUGAUUAGCUAGUUGGUGGGGUAAAGGCCUACCAAGGCGACGAUCAGUAGCUGGUCUGAGAGGACGACCAGUCACACUGGGACUGAGACACGGCCCAGACUCCUACGGGAGGCAGCAGUGGGGAAUUUUGGACAAUGGGCGAAAGCCUGAUCCAGCAAUGCCGCGUGUGUGAAGAAGGCCUUCGGGUUGUAAAGCACUUUUGUCCGGAAAGAAAUCCUUGGCCCUAAUACGGUCGGGGGAUGACGGUACCGGAAGAAUAAGCACCGGCUAACUACGUG
rnacentral:rRNA from 1 species